rnacentral:rRNA from 1 species
GUGAGGAAUAUUGCGCAAUGGAGGCAACUCUGACGCAGCCAUGCCGCGUGCAGGAAGAAGGCGCUACGCGUUGUAAACUGCUUUUAACCGGGAAGAAACCCCAGGACGUGUCCUGGGUUGACGGUACCGGAGGAAUAAGCACCGGCUAACUUCGUGCCAGCAGCCGCGGUAAUACGAAGGGUGCAAGCGUUAUCCGGAUUCAUUGGGUUUAAAGGGUGCGUAGGCGGAGCGUUAAGUCAGUGGUGAAAUCCUGCAGCUUAGCUGUAGACUUGCCAUUGAUACUGGCGCUCUUGAGUGCGCUUGAAGUGGGCGGAAUGUGCCGUGUAGCGGUGAAAUGCUUAGAUAUGGCACAGAACACCAAUUGCGAAGGCAGCUCACUAAGGCGAUACUGACGCUGAGGCACGAAAGCGUGGGGAUCGAACAGGAUUAGAUACCCCGGUAGUCC